rnacentral:rRNA from 1 species
AGUGAACGCUGGCGGUAGGCCUAACACAUGCAAGUCGAACGGCAACACAGUAAGAGCUUGCUCUUACGGGUGGCGAGUGGCGGACGGGUGAGGAAUACAUCGGAAUCUACUUUUUCGUGGGGGAUAACGUAGGGAAACUUACGCUGAUACCGCAUACGACCUACGGGUGAAAGCAGGGGAUCUUCGGACCUUGCGCGAUUGAAUGAGCCGAUGUCGGAUUAGCUAGUUGGCGGGGUAAAGGCCCACCAAGGCGACGAUCCGUAGCUGGUCUGAGAGGAUGAUCAGCCACACUGGAACUGAGACACGGUCCAGACUCCUACGGGAGGCAGCAGUGGGGAAUAUUGGACAAUGGGCGCAAGCCUGAUCCAGCCAUACCGCGUGGGUGAAGAAGGCCUUCGGGUUGUAAAGCCCUUUUGUUGGGAAAGAAAAGCAGCAGGUUAAUACCCCGCUGCUCUGACGGUACCCAAAGAAUAAGCACCGGCUAACUUCGUG